rnacentral:misc_RNA from 1 species
GGAAGGAUCAUUAACAAGUCGUGUCGCCGUGGCGCUCUCAGGGGCGCCCGCAGACAUUAUAAUCCCGGGGCAACCCGGCAGAUACAUGUACGAAAAGUGAGAACGCGGGCAAAGCAUACAAACUUUUAACAAUGGAUCUCUUGGCUCUUGCAUCGAUGAAGAACGCAGCAAAGUGCGAAAUGUAGUGCGAUUUGCAACUUCUGUGAGUCAUCGAGUCUUUGAACGCAUAUUGCACCAAGUGCGCAAGCACCUGGUAUGCCUGUUUGAGAAUCAUUUACAAAUUAUUGUCCUUAUGACGAGUUGUGCCCGCAGCGAUGGGGCGUUAAGUUCCGUGUUGAUGUGUCAAGCAUUCAUCUCUGCCCUUCCACAUCAUGAUCUCAAAUCAGGCAAGACUACCCGCCGAACUUAAGCAUAUCAGUAAGCGGAGGAAAAGAAACUAACUAGGAUUCCCCCAGUAACGGCGAGUGAACCGGGAAGAGCUCAAAUUUUAAAUCUGGAGGCCCUGCCUUCCGAAUUGUAGUUUAAAGACAUUUGCCAUUGGGCGCAGCCGGCCGUGCAAGUCUCCUGGAAUGGGGCGUCACAGAGGGUGAGAAUCCCGUUUGGACGGUGGGCGGCGCUCCGCGGCGCUUGUCAAAGAGUCGAGUUGUUUGGGAAUGCAACUCAAAAUGGGUGGUAAAUUUCAUCUAAAGCUAAAUACAGGCAAGAGACCGAUAGCAAACAAGUACCGUGAGGGAAAGAUGAAAAGCACCUUGAAAAGGGGGUUAAAUAGUGCGUGAAAUUGUUAAAAGGGAAACGAUUGGAACCGGUAUUGUCGCAAGACAAGUCGGCGUCGGCUGCGAGCCCGCGACCAGGCCCUCUGGAAGGUGACGCUGCCUGCAGCGUUUUACAGACUGAGGGAGCCAGGCGGGCCGUCUUCCGAUCAUGUGCGCUCUACGGAGUGGCGGUCCGACCCCGGGGUGUUUGAAGCUGUGCACGCACAGCCCAUGCUGCCCCGGGGCCGCCGCCGCCACUGCAUGUGCACGCGCUGGUGAGGUGGUUCCAAACGACCCGUCUUGAAACACGGACCAAGGAGUCUAACGUAUAUGCGAGUAUUUGGGUGGCAAACCCGGAUGCGCAACGAAAGUAACCGAUAGGACGCCUCCGGCGGCACUAUUGGCCAAUCUCCAUUCGUGGCAGAUUGAGUGCGAGCAUAUCUGUUGGGACCCGAAAGAUGGUGAACUAUGCCUGAAUAGGGUGAAGCCAGAGGAAACUCUGGUGGAAGCUCGUAGCCGUUCUGACGUGCAAAUCGAUGGUCAAAUUUGGGUAUAGGGGCGAAAGACUAAUCGAACCAUCUAGUAGCUGGUUCCCUC